UUUCAUUAGCCAAAUCCUCUUCUUUCUCUAGAACUUAAAUUUCUUAUUUUCUCUGCCUUCUCUCUAACCUUGUUCCAUUUUCUCUGUACUCAUUUCUUAAAUUUCCACUGUUGCUUUGUCAAAUAGGUGGUGCUCUUACGUUCCCAGAGUCGAGGGCUUUCAAUCCCUCCGAUUAGUUUCGCAUCUCUCAGUUGAUAAGGUACUGUGGAGUUGUCUCUAUGUGGAGGUACGGUUGGAGAAUUUUUCUAUUGAGUUGUACUGUGAAGAUCAUAGAAAUAUUGAGGAGGUUACACUGGAGCAAGAGCUUGAGGAUACGGAUGCUGCAGCCUAGUCUUCCUAGGAGUUUCCUUGCCAUUUUAUGUUCUUUUGAAAUACUUCAUAUGUUAAGUUUUAAACUUAGGCCUCUUUUGUUAAAGUUUGAAUUCUGAAGUCUUAUUGGAUGACUGUAAUUUGUACCUUAUCUAAAAUUCUACUCCGACUGUUCUCUUA